rnacentral:rRNA from 1 species
AUUGAACGCUGGCGGCAGGCCUAACACAUGCAAGUCGAACGAGUGGCAGACGGGUGAGUAAUGUUUGGGAAUCUAGCUUAUGGAGGGGGAUAACUACGGGAAACGGUAGCUAAUACCGAGUACCAUCGGAUGAGCCCAGGUGGGAUUAGGUAGUUGGUGGGGUAAAGGCUCACCAAGGCGACGAUCACUAGCUGGUCUGAGAGGAUGACCAGCCACACUGGGACUGAGAAACGGUCCAGACGCCUACGGGAGGCAGCAGUGGGGAAUAUUGCGCAAUGGGGGCAAGCCUGACGCAGCCAUGCCGCGUGAAUGAAGAAGGCCUUCGGGUUGUAAAGUUCUUUCGGUAGGGAGGCGUUAACUACAGAAGAAGCACCGGCUAACUCCGUGCCAGCCGCCGCGGUAAUUC